AGUCCACUGCGUCUUAACAAAAUAACCGAACGUCGUAGUGGGAUUGGAACCAGAGGAUUCUAAAUUUGGUCGUCACUGUUCUCCAAUACAGCUGGGCACACUAGGCAAAACGAGGUUUCCAUUUGCCCCUUCCACCUACUAGUAUUAUCCGUCUGUCAUUUUGGUAAAUGGACACAUGACUUUAUGAUGUGGAGUGUAGGCUCAAAUGUUAGCAAAGACAACUGAAAACGAAAGUUGAGUGAAACCAAGAGUUCCUCAAAAGUCGGACCAGCAUGUCUGGAGCCCAGAAGCCAGGGAUCAAAGUGAGAAACCACAACGAAAACAUGUUCGGUUUCAGAAUUUUGGAAGGAUGCUGCUGGAGCAGGAAACUCAGGCUGUCAGAGUAUCUGUCAACGACGACCGUCGGUUGUUGUUCUGGGACCCAUCACAAAGGAAGCAUCCCUCCUUAUCGGAAUCGGCGUCCGAC